rnacentral:rRNA from 1 species
CCUACGGGUGGCUGCAGUGGGGAAUAUUGGACAAUGGGGGCAACCCUGAUCCAGCCAUGCCGCGUGUGUGAAGAAGGCCCUCGGGUUGUAAAGCACUUUCAUGGGGGAGGAACGCCGGUGGGUUAAUACCCACAGGGAAAACCUUCACUCACAGAAGAGGCACCGGCUAACUCCGUGCCAGCAGCCGCGGUAAUACGGAGGGUGCGAGCGUUAAUCGGAAUUACUGGGCGUAAAGCGCGCGUAGGUGGCUUGAUAAGCCGGUUUGUGAAAGCCCCGGGCUCAACCUGGGAACGGCAUCCGGAACUGUCAAGCUAGAGUGCAGGAGAGGAAGGUAGAAUUCCCGGUGUAGCGGUGAAAUGCGUAGAGAUCGGGAGGAAUACCAGUGGCGAAGGCGGCCUUCUGGACUGACACUGACACUGAGGUGCGAAAGCGUGGGUAGCAAACAGGAUUAGAUACCCUAGUAGUC